rnacentral:misc_RNA from 1 species
GGCAAACCAGCCUCCAUUGCCAACUCUGCCAACAUCAUGGAAGCCCCUGGGUCCUUCUCUGAAGGCUUAAGAAUGAAGGUGUUGCCACAAGUAGCUGCAACAGGAAACAUCCACAAGGGAAUCAUUGCAGGGAAGUUGAAUGGACAAAUCCCGGCACAAACACCCAGAGGUUCCCUUAGGCUAUAGGUAUCAAUUCCAUUUGAUACAUUAGACCCAUACUCACCCAUCUGCAAAGUUGCCAUUCCACACGCAUGCUCCACCACCUCAAGACCGCGGAACACAUCCCCUUGUGCAUCUUUCAGUGUUUUUCCCUGCUCCGUAGUCACAUUGAAGGCAAGCUUAUCCAUGUUCUUCCUAAUAAGCUCUUGGAAUUUGAGCAUGACCCGUUGUCUUGUGGUUAUGGGUGUGUUUUUCCAUGACGGAAAAGCCUCCUUGGCUGCAGAAACCGCAGAUUUGAAUUCUUUAUCCGUUGUUAAAGGUAUCUGAGAAACCACCUCUUGGGUUGCUGGGUUUAUCACAUCAACGAAUUCUGAUGAUUGUGAAUCUACAAAGCUGCCACCAAUUAAAUUUGGAACUCUGAGGGAAGUUCGAUGCUUCCAUGAGGAUUCCGUAGCAACUGAAAAGUGAUGAUUAGCGACAGCAAAAAUACCAGGAGUCAAAGACCUUAGUUUCUUCACUCUGUGAACUGAAAACUGCAUCAUUGUUUCUCUCCAAAUAUUUUGUUAAAAAAAAAUGGUGUAUUCAAAAUUCCAAAUCUAUAUAUAUAUUCAAGAAAGAUAGUGUUUUAGAGAUUAUCUAAUUGAUUAUGAAGAUCAGAUCAGUGAUAUGGAGUCCUAUUUUUU